UCUCACAGCUCCGACACUUAUUGCGAGCCAUACACAAGCUGGUGUCAGGACACGUACUCCCAAAGUCCCACCAAUCCCGUACUAGCUGUGGCUUCCAAAAACAAGCACUUGAGGGCUUUCUCUGGCAUUCUGGGCUGGUGAUAGACACAAGGAUUGCAGGGCUUGAUAUUCCCAAGAAAUAGCUCUCUGUCAAUGACAGGGUUUGGAACUCGCGUGGAGCCGUAAUAAACACCUGGCAGGAUAUCUCCAAGGCUGGGAAAUCAUUCCCCACUUAAGGAGGUUUGAAUAGAGACAAUAGGCACUCGCAGGCAAUAAAAUGACAACAAAAGCAAGAAAGCCUGUCUGCUGAAUAACUGAAGAAGCCUAAGACUGAGAUAUGAUUGAGUUAAGAAAAAAAAUGUGUAUAUAUA
rnacentral:lncRNA from 1 species